rnacentral:lncRNA from 1 species
UUCCACCCCCGUGACCCCCUGGCGUCCUCUCCACCACCGCAGCCCAACUGCUACGCCAAGGUGAUCACCAUCGAGGCGCAGAAGAAGAUCGUCAUCUACUCGAAGCAGCCCAUCGGGGUCAACGAGGAGAUCACCUACGACUACAAGUUCCCCAUCGAGGACACCAAAAUCCCCUGCCUGUGCCGCACCGAGAGCUGCCGCGGCACGCUCAACUAGGCCACCGCGUGGUGGGCCCGGUGGUGGGCCUGGUGGUGGGCCUGGUGGUGGGCCUGGUGGUGGGCCUUCUGGUGGGCCUUCUGGUGGGCCUGGUGGGCGAGGAGGCAGCGGCGUUGGGGAGAAGUCAACGUGGUUGGCAAGAGGUCAACGUGGUUGGUGUUGGGUCAUCGGUGUUGGCAAGAGGUCAUCGUGGUCAUCACCAUGGUUGGCAAGAGGUCAACGAUGUUGGUGAGAAGUCAACGUGGUUGGCAAGAGGUCAUCACCAUGGUUGGCAAGAGGUCAACGCAGUUGGCAAGAGGUCAUCGUGGUUGGCGUUGGGUCAUCGGUGUUGGCAAGAAGUCAUCAUGGUCAUCACCGUGGUCAUCACUUUGGUUGGCAAGAGGUCAACGAUGUUGGUGAGAAGUCAACGCAGUUGGCAAGAGGUCAUCGGCGUUGGUGGUGCAUCAUCAGCGUUGGGAAGAGGUCAUCAAUGUGGUUGGCAAGAGGUCAUCGUUGUUGGUGUUGGGUCAUCGUGGUUGGCAAGAGGUCGUCAUGGUUGGUGUGAGGUCAUCGUGAUGGUCACCAUGGUCAUCACCGUGGUUGGUGAGAGGUCAAUGAGGUUGGUGUGA